AGCAUUUCUUCCCCUCACCUUUCCCUGGCUCAGGAGGAACAGCAGAAACCAAAGACCAGUGGUUCUUGUGUCCAGCCUAUAACUUGGAUGACUUGUUGGGGAACAGAUUCCUGAGCCGCAACCCUGAAGAUGCUAAUUCAGUUUACACUGUGGUCAAAGGGAUUCUGUUUAACUAAAAAAUUUCAAACCCAGCAAAAAGUUGAAAGGUCUGGUGACCACCCAUAGACCCAUUGGAAUCCCAGGGGACCCAGCAUGGAGCUCCAUCCACUGUGCACUGAAAACAUCAAACCGGGGGCUGCCGAGGUGUAUCCCUGCACACGUCUCAUCUGUCGGAGAAGCUCAGUGCCCGACCACAGCAGAUGGCCCCUCCAAGAUUUCCUGUGUUCAACACUCAAUUCUAAGAAUCUCGGCUCUGGAAGAACUUCAGGCAUCUCCCACCCCUUACGUCACAACUUCACGUGGCCCAGACCCCUCCACGACACUCAAAAUUCCUAAAGGUUCCUAGACAAGAGGCUGCUGAACUCAUUCCAGGGUCUCAUGGCAGAAGCUUUCCCUGAUACCUCAUUCCAGUCUCUCCUGUUAUUACUUUAACAAAUAAAAAGAUACCCC
rnacentral:lncRNA from 1 species